GGUUAAGCGACUAAGCGUACACGGUGGAUGCCCUGGCAGUCAGAGGCGAUGAAGGACGUGCUAAUCUGCGAAAAGCGUCGGUAAGGUGAUAUGAACCGUUAUAACCGGCGAUGUCCGAAUGGGGAAACCCAGUGCAAUUCGUUGCACUAUCGUUAACUGAAUACAUAGGUUAACGAGGCGAACCGGGGGAACUGAAACAUCUAAGUACCCCGAGGAAAAGAAAUCAACCGAGAUUCCCCCAGUAGCGGCGAGCGAACGGGGAGCAGCCCAGAGUCUGAAUCAGCUUGUGUGUUAGUGGAACGGUCUGGAAAGUCCGACGGUACAGGGUGAUAGUCCCGUACACCAAAAUGCACAGGUUGUGAACUCGAAGAGUAGGGCGGGACACGUGGUAUCCUGUCUGAAUAUGGGGGGACCAUCCUCCAAGGCUAAAUACUCCUGACUGACCGAUAGUGAACCAGUACCGUGAGGGAAAGGCGAAAAGAACCCCGGCGAGGGGAGUGAAAAAGAACCUGAAACCGUGUACGUACAAGCAGUGGGAGCACCUUCGGGUGUGACUGCGUACCUUUUGUAUAAUGGGUCAGCGACUUAUAUUCUGUAGCAAGGUUAACCGUAUAGGGGAGCCGCAGGGAAACCGAGUCUUAACUGGGCGUUAAGUUGCAGGGUAUAGACCCGAAACCCGGUGAUCUAGCCAUGGGCAGGUUGAAGGUUGGGUAACACUAACUGGAGGACCGAACCGACUAAUGUUGAAAAAUUAGCGGAUGACUUGUGGCUGGGGGUGAAAGGCCAAUCAAACCGGGAGAUAGCUGGUUCUCCCCGAAAGCUAUUUAGGUAGCGCCUCGUGAACUCAUCUUCGGGGUAGAGCACUGUUUCGGCUAGGGGGUCAUCCCGACUUACCAACCCGAUGCAAACUACGAAUACCGAAGAAUGUUAUCACGGGAGACACACGGCGGGUGCUAACGUCCGUCGUGAAGAGGGAAACAACCCAGACCGCCAGCUAAGGUCCCAAAGUCAUGGUUAAGUGGGAAACGAUGUGGGAAGGCACAGACAGCCAGGAUGUUGGCUUAGAAGCAGCCAUCAUUUAAAGAAAGCGUAAUAGCUCACUGGUCGAGUCGGCCUGCGCGGAAGAUGUAACGGGGCUAAACCAUGCACCGAAGCUGCGGCAGCGACACUAUGUGUUGUUGGGUAGGGGAGCGUUCUGUAAGCCUGCGAAGGUGUGCUGUGAGGCAUGCUGGAGGUAUCAGAAGUGCGAAUGCUGACAUAAGUAACGAUAAAGCGGGUGAAAAGCCCGCUCGCCGGAAGACCAAGGGUUCCUGUCCAACGUUAAUCGGGGCAGGGUGAGUCGACCCCUAAGGCGAGGCCGAAAGGCGUAGUCGAUGGGAAACAGGUUAAUAUUCCUGUACUUGGUGUUACUGCGAAGGGGGGACGGAGAAGGCUAUGUUAGCCGGGCGACGGUUGUCCCGGUUUAAGCAUGUAGGCUGAUUGUCCAGGCAAAUCCGGAUAAUCAAGGCUGAGGUGUGAUGACGAGGCACUACGGUGCUGAAGUAACAAAUGCCCUGCUUCCAGGAAAAGCCUCUAAGCAUCAGGUAACAUUAAAUCGUACCCCAAACCGACACAGGUGGUCAGGUAGAGAAUACCAAGGCGCUUGAGAGAACUCGGGUGAAGGAACUAGGCAAAAUGGUGCCGUAACUUCGGGAGAAGGCACGCUGGUGUGUAGGUGAAGUCCCUGCGGAUGGAGCUGAGACCAGUCGAAGAUACCAGCUGGCUGCAACUGUUUAUUAAAAACACAGCACUGUGCAAACACGAAAGUGGACGUAUACGGUGUGACGCCUGCCCGGUGCCGGAAGGUUAAUUGAUGGGGUUAUCCGUAAGGAGAAGCUCUUGAUCGAAGCCCCGGUAAACGGCGGCCGUAACUAUAACGGUCCUAAGGUAGCGAAAUUCCUUGUCGGGUAAGUUCCGACCUGCACGAAUGGCGUAAUGAUGGCCAGGCUGUCUCCACCCGAGACUCAGUGAAAUUGAACUCGCUGUGAAGAUGCAGUGUACCCGCGGCAAGACGGAAAGACCCCGUGAACCUUUACUAUAGCUUGACACUGAACAUUGAGCCUUGAUGUGUAGGAUAGGUGGGAGGCUUUGAAGCGUGGACGCCAGUCUGCGUGGAGCCAACCUUGAAAUACCACCCUUUAAUGUUUGAUGUUCUAACGUUGGCCCCUGACCGGGGUUGCGGACAGUGUCUGGUGGGUAGUUUGACUGGGGCGGUCUCCUCCCAAAGCGUAACGGAGGAGCACGAAGGUUAGCUAAUCCUGGUCGGACAUCAGGAGGUUAGUGCAAUGGCAUAAGCUAGCUUGACUGCGAGCGUGACGGCGCGAGCAGGUGCGAAAGCAGGUCAUAGUGAUCCGGUGGUUCUGAAUGGAAGGGCCAUCGCUCAACGGAUAAAAGGUACUCCGGGGAUAACAGGCUGAUACCGCCCAAGAGUUCAUAUCGACGGCGGUGUUUGGCACCUCGAUGUCGGCUCAUCACAUCCUGGGGCUGAAGUAGGUCCCAAGGGUAUGGCUGUUCGCCAUUUAAAGUGGUACGCGAGCUGGGUUUAGAACGUCGUGAGACAGUUCGGUCCCUAUCUGCCGUGGGCGCUGGAGAAUUGAGGGGGGCUGCUCCUAGUACGAGAGGACCGGAGUGGACGCAUCACUGGUGUUCGGGUUGUCAUGCCAAUGGCACUGCCCGGUAGCUAAAUGCGGAAGAGAUAAGUGCUGAAAGCAUCUAAGCACGAAACUUGCCCCGAGAUGAGUUCUCCCUGAGACUUUAAGUCUCCUGAAGGAACGUUGAAGACGACGACGUUGAUAGGCCGGGUGUGUAAGCGCAGCGAUGCGUUGAGCUAACCGGUACUAAUGAACCGUGAGGCUUAACCUU
rnacentral:rRNA from 1 species